GACGAACGCUGGCGGCGUGCUUAACACAUGCAAGUCGAACGGAAAGGCCCUGCUUUUGUGGGGUGCUCGAGUGGCGAACGGGUGAGUAACACGUGAGUAACCUGCCCUUGACUUUGGGAUAACUUCAGGAAACUGGGGCUAAUACCGGAUAGGAGCUCCUGCUGCAUGGUGGGGGUUGGAAAGUUUCGGCGGUUGGGGAUGGACUCGCGGCUUAUCAGCUUGUUGGUGGGGUAGUGGCUUACCAAGGCUUUGACGGGUAGCCGGCCUGAGAGGGUGACCGGCCACAUUGGGACUGAGAUACGGCCCAGACUCCUACGGUAGGCAGCAGUGGGGAAUAUUGCACAAUGGGCGGAAGCCUGAUGCAGCAACGCCGCGUGCGGGAUGCCGGCCUUCGGGUUGUAAACCGCUUUCGCCUGAGACGAAGCGUGAGUGACGGUAAUGGGUAAAGAAGCACCGGCUAACUACGUG
rnacentral:rRNA from 1 species